GCCGUUGUGUUGGAAUAGGUAGACAAAGCGGACUUAAAAUCCGCCGGUAGCGAUACCGUACCGGUUCGAGUCCGGUCAGCGGCACCA
rnacentral:tRNA from 1 species